CGAGCGUACACAGGUGCUGCAUGGCGUGUCGUCAGCUCGUGUCGUGAGAUGUUGGGUUAAGUCCCGCAACGAGCGCAACCCCUCGCAUUCAGUUGCCAUCGGGUAAUGCCGGGCACUCUGGAAGGACUGCCAUCGACAAGAAUGGAGGGAAGGUAGGGGAGUGACGUCAAGUCAUCAUGGCCCUUAUGUCCAGGGCGACACACGUGCUACAAUGGCCGGCACAACGGGAAGCGAGUUCGCGAGGACGAGCGGAUCCCUCAAAGCCGGUCGCAGUUCGGAUUGAAGUCUGCAACCCGACUUCAUGAAGCUGGAAUCGCUAGUAAUCGUGGAUCAGCCAAGCCGCGGUGAAUACGUUCCCGGGCCUU
rnacentral:rRNA from 1 species